UACGAAGGGAGCAAGCGUUGUUCGGAAUUACUGGGCGUAAAGGGCGCGUAGGCGGUUUAACAAGUCAGGCGUGAAAGCCCCGGGCUCAACCCGGGAAUAGCGUUUGAGACUGUUUUUCUAAGAGUUCGGAAGAGGUAAGUGGAAUUCCCAAUGUAGCAGUGAAAUGCGUAGAUAUUGGGAAGAACACCAGUGGCGAAGGCGGCUUACUGGUCCGAUACUGACGCUGAGGCGCGAAAGCGUGGGGAGCAAACAGG
rnacentral:rRNA from 1 species